UACGAAGGGGCUAGCGUUGCUCGGAAUCACUGGGCGUAAAGGGUGCGUAGGCGGGUCUUUUAAGUCAGGGGUGAAAUCCUGGAGCUCAACUCCAGAACUGCCUUUGAUACUGAAGAUCUUGAGUUCGGGAGAGGUGAGUGGAACUGGCGAGUGUAGAGGUGAAAUUCGUAGAUAUUCGCAAGAACACCAGUGGCGAAGGCGGCUCACUGGCCCGAUACUGACGCUGAGGCACGAAAGCGUGGGAGCAA
rnacentral:rRNA from 1 species